rnacentral:rRNA from 1 species
GAUGAACGCUGGCGGCGUGCCUAAUACAUGCAAGUCGAGCGAAGCGGGGACGGGUGAGUAACACGUGGAUAAACUCCUAUAAGACUGGGAUAACUUCGGGAAACCGGAGCUAAACCGGAUACUUAUAGAUGGAUCCGCGGUGCAUGAGCUAGUUGGUAAGGUAAUGGCUUACCAAGGCAACGAUGCAUCGCCGACCUGAGAGGGGGAUCGGCCACCUGGGAACGGAGACAGGGUCCAGCCUCUCAGGGGAGGCAGCAGGAGGAAAUUUUCCGCAAUGGGCGAAAGCCUGCCGGAGCAACGCCGGGGGAGUGAGGAAGUUCUUGGGACGGUAAAACUCUGUUAUUAGGGAAGGGGAACCAAAUCAGAAAGCCACGGCUAACUACGGGCCAGCGGCCGCGGUAAUU